rnacentral:lncRNA from 1 species
UAACUUGGGAGUCGACUCUGAAAUACUUGGAGUCGACUCGUUCACAGGAUCUCCAAGACUGAGUCUCUGCCUUUCAGACUGUUUUUCUCUAGGAGUCGACUCGGACAAACUGGGAGUCGACUCGGCUAAUGUGGAAGAUUCUGUAGUCUCAUUGUUAGUAUGCAAUUGAAGCACAUGUGAGCUAAUCUGAGAUUUAUCAUAAAUAUUUCUUAAAGUAUCCCAGAUUUCUUAAGCAGAUAAGCAUGCAGAAAUCUUAUGAAAUAUAGAUUCAUGGAUAGCACAAUAUAGAAUGUUCAUAGCAUUAGUAUUCAAUUGUGCUAAGUCUUUUUCAUUGACAGCUUGAGAGAGUGUGUGAGGGCCAUUUAUAAUGAUAUUUCAUAUUUUAUAGUUUUGUGAUUGAACAAAAAUUUUCAUUCUAGCUUUCCAUUGAAUAUAGUAAGUUCCAUCAAAAGGUGGAGGUCUGUUUAUGGAAAGUCCCUCGGCAAAUAAUGUAUUAUGUGGGGUUGUCAUAAUCUUUAGCUCUAGUCGGUUAAGACUAUAAUUAAUAGAAGAGCACCUGCUCUGAUACCACUUGUUGCCCAAGGUGACAACCCAAGAGGGGGGGUGAAUUGGGUUUUCUAAAAAUUAUGUUCCCUAAUUUUUACUUUGAAUUGAAUGCAGCGGAAUGAUAAGAUGUUAUUUACUUAAGCUCUAGGCAAUUACAAGUAAAGUAGUAGAAAAAUUAAGCUAGAGCAAUUAUACUAUGGC